GCACAAGCAGUGGAGUAUGUGGUUUAAUUCGAAGCAACGCGAAGAACCUUACCAGGUCUUGACAUCCAACUAACGAAGUAGAGAUACAUUAGGUGCCCUUCGGGGAAAGUUGAGACAGGGGGUGCAUGGUUGUCGUCAGCUCGUGUCGUGAGAUGUUGGGUUAAGUCCCGCAACGAGCGCAACCCUUGCUAUUAGUUGCUACGGAAGAGCACUCUAAUAUGACUGCCGUUGACAAAA
rnacentral:rRNA from 1 species